rnacentral:rRNA from 1 species
UACGAGGGGGGCGAGCGUUGUUCGGAAUUAUUGGGCGUAAAGGGUGCGUAGGCGGUUCCGCAAGUCCUGUGUGAAAUCUUCGGGCUCAACUCGAAGUCUGCACAGGAAACUAUCUGGCUUGAGUGUGGGAGAGGUGAGUGGAAUUCCUGGUGUAGGCGGUGAAAUGCGCAGAUAUCAGGAGGAACACCAAUGGCGAAGGCAGCUCGCUGGGACGGUACUGACGCUGAGACGCGAAAGCGUGGGGAGCAAACAGG